GGCCCGUUAGCUCAGUUGGUUAGAGUGUGGUGCUAAUAAUUCCAAGGUCAUGGGUUAGAUACCCGUAUGGGCUA